rnacentral:rRNA from 1 species
UACGAAGGGAGCUAGCGUUGUUCGGAAUUACUGAGCGUAAAGCGCACGUAGGCGGAUUUGUCAGUCAGGGGUGAAAUCCCGAGGCUCAACCUCGGAACUGCCUCCGAUACAACAAGUCUUGAGGACGAGAGAGGUUGGUGGAAUUCCUAGUGUAGAGGUGAAAUUCGUAGAUAUUAGGAAGAACACCAGUGGCGAGGGCGGCCAACUGGCUCGUAUCUGACGCUGAGGUGCGAAAGCGUGGGGAUCAAACAGG